UUUAAAUGUAAAAAUUAAUACUAAAUUAGUAAUAGUUAUGUUCUUUAAAUUUAAAGAUUUUGGCGGUAUUUUAGUCUAUUCAGAGGAACCUGUUCUAUAAUUGAUAGUCCACGAUUUAUUUUACUUUAUUUAAAAAUUUGUAUAUCGUCGUUUAUAAAAAAUUUUAUAAGAAUAAUAAUUUUUAAGAUUUUAUAUAAAAAAAUAUAUCAGAUCAAGGUGCAGUUUAUAGUAAAGAAGAAAUGGGUUACAAUAAAUUUAUUUAAAUGGAUUAAUAAAUUAAAUUUUAUUAUUGAAAGUGGAUUUGAUAGUAAUAAUAUUGAAAUUAAUUUUAUGAUUUUAGCUCUAAAAUAUGU
rnacentral:rRNA from 1 species